rnacentral:rRNA from 1 species
AAUAUUGGACAAUGGGCGCAAGCCUGAUCCAGCCAUCCCGCGUGCAGGAUGACUGCCCUAUGGGUUGUAAACUGCUUUUAUAGACCAAGAAACGCCUUCAUUUAUGAGGGCCUGACGGUAGUCUAAGAAUAAGCACCGGCUAACUCCGUGCCAGCAGCCGCGGUAAUACGGAGGGUGCAAGCGUUAUCCGGAAUCACUGGGUUUAAAGGGUGCGUAGGCUGUUUGGUAAGUCAGAGGUGAAAUGUUCCCGCUAAACGGGAGACCUGCCUUUGAAACUGCCAAACUUGAGUAAGGUGGAGGUGGGCGGAAUGAGUCAUGUAGCGGUGAAAUGCAUAGAUAUGACUUAGAACACCAACUGCGAAGGCAGCUCACUAUACCUUUACUGACGCUGAGUCACGAAAGCGUGGGUAGCGAACAGGAUUAGAUACCCUGGUAGUCCACGCCCUA